AUUGAACGCUGGCGGCAGGCCUAACACAUGCAAGUCGAGCGGAUGACGGGAGCUUGCUCCUUGAUUCAGCGGCGGACGGGUGAGUAAUGCCUAGGAAUCUGCCUGGUAGUGGGGGACAACGUUUCGAAAGGAACGCUAAUACCGCAUACGUCCUACGGGAGAAAGCAGGGGACCUUCGGGCCUUGCGCUAUCAGAUGAGCCUAGGUCGGAUUAGCUAGUAGGUGAGGUAAUGGCUCACCUAGGCGACGAUCCGUAACUGGUCUGAGAGGAUGAUCAGUCACACUGGAACUGAGACACGGUCCAGACUCCUACGGGAGGCAGCAGUUGGGAAUAUUGGACAAUGGGCGAAAGCCUGAUCCAGCCAUGCCGCGUGUGUGAAGAAGGCCUUCGGAUUGUAAAGCACUUUAAGUUGGGAGGAAGGGUUGUACGUUAAUACCGUGCAAUUUUGACGUUACCGACAGAAUAAGCACCGGCUAACUCUGUGCCAGCAGCCGCAGUAA
rnacentral:rRNA from 1 species